AGCCUACGUCAGAGCCACAGCAAUGCGGGAUCCGAGCCGAGUCUGCAACCUACACCACAGCUCAGGCAACUCCAGAUCGUUAACCCACUGAGCAAGAGCAGGGACUGAACCCUCAACCUCAUGGUUCCUAGUCGGAUUCGUUAACCACUGCGCCACGACGGGAACUCCAAUAAUUGAUUGUUUUAAUGGACAGUUCAAGAUGUCCCUCUCAAACUAUUCAUCUGAAGUGUCCAAAGACUCAUGGAGUCAUACUCAGUGUAAAGGCCUGUUUUCAAAAGUGAAAAGAAAAGGAGAAAAUAAAAUUGAAAUCAGUGAUAGUGGUCUUGUUCACAAAGCUCCCUUCCUGGGGCUGUACAUGGGGCAGUGUGCACGACAAUGCCCUUGGCGACCCUGGUGUCUGCACAGGCCCAGUGAUACUGCACAAUUGCGUGGCUGUUAUCUCUCAACAUGGUACUACAGUAGGGCAGCUGUGCCCUGAGAUGUUACCAGCUUCAGACACAGCCUGCUGUCCACCUUCUCCAUGAAGUUCUAGAGCCUUGUGGAAAACCCAGAUGAUUCUGCUCUCCUCACAGUGAGUUCUUUUCUGGGACCUUUAUUGUUCUUUCCUGCCCCCAGAUUUCAGUCAUAGCCACCCCAACCAAAUCACCAAAUCUCAGAGUCAGCUUUAAAGCUUCCCUCCCAGAAGGUCCCCUCAGUGCAAAGGAAAAUUCCCUUGUGUCUGUUGAGAACUAUGCCAACUAAGGAUAGUUAGGAAUGGUAACAUGGGCCAAGCUACAGAAAAGUUUCAUAAGGGCAAAUGACAACUUCCAGAUUCACAUUAAUUUAAAAAAGGUCAUUCAGGAGGUUUAGAAUGAGUCAAAGUGUUGCACAAAGAUGACCUUUUAUUUGUAAUACUAAACAGUGAAACACUGACAGAAUUUUGAAAGCUCACCUUGCCAGGGGACCUGCCUUAUUGGCCUAAUGAAUUUUUUGUUUGAUUAUUUUAUUUUAUUGUCAAGAGCCCCAAUGUGAGAUAUAGACAGGGUAUUCCUUUUCUUAUGGACACUAAUUUCACAAAUUAAAAAAAAAGAAAUAUGUAUAUAUGUGUGUAUAUAUAUAUUAGAUGGGGUAUACAACUACAAGAACAGUGAAUACAGUGUGAACCAAAUAUAAAAGUAAAUAACCAGAAAAAUAAAAUGAAAAAUACAAUAAAUGUAGGCAGCAACCACUUGGUUGUGAGACACUGCAUUAAUCCUCUUUAUCAUUAGUCUCAGAAAUGAAUGUGUAUUAUUUUUAAAACUAGAGAAAAAUACUAAAAAUUUGGAAAUCAACACAUAAGAGGAUAAUUGUGGUUUUUCUUUAUUGUUUUGUUUUUCGAAGCAGAAGUAAUAUCUAUUACAAAAAUAAGAAAUUACAUGGUCUAAAAUAUAGAACAAUGAGGAUUUUAAUAUUGCUCCCUGGUGUAACUUUUUUAGAAGUCUGUCUCUGAAAAUAGAGGAAAAUGUUUAUUUUAAUGAGAAAAAAAAAAGGUAUUUGCUCUUCACACAAUUCUUCUCAAAUAUUUUUAACUUGUAUUUACCCUCAGAUAUGAAUAUGUCAUUUAUUAAUUUCUGUCAAACUUCUUAAAUUUAUUAUUUCCCACCUGUAAGGCUUUAGAUAGAAAUGUGUUCUUGGUUUUUUACCUGCAACGAUAUAAUAUUUUACAUACCCUGAAAUUACGUUCUUUUUCUGCAUGGUAAAUCUUUUUAGCAUUCUUGGAUUUGGUCACUUACUGAUAUUGUUCGUAAUUUUUGUGUUGCUCUUGUAAUUUCACUUCGUCAUUGACUUUCCAAAAUGAAAGGUCUUGCUUUUAUUUUUCAGUCUAAUUUCCUAUUGUUAGAAUCCCUUCAUAAUUUUAUUUGCCUGCUCUAGGACUUUUAAAUAUCCUUAGUAGGGGUACUGACCAGACCUGGGUAAGAAGUAUUUGUCCACUGUGUUUUUCUCAUUUUUUCAAAUUUGGGUAAGAGAGUGCAUCCAGUGUUAUUUAUAAUGCCCCUCUUUAAAACACCACAGUGAAACAAUGGCAGUUGAUGUUUCCCAGAUGCUUCCUGUCUCUUAAGCAUCUAAGACCAAAGUGGUAGCCCAUAAUGCAUUGCCAUGGCAGGCAGGCACAUGGGACGAGCCAGGGCAGCUGCAGUGGCUCUGGCAGCUUGGGACUGAGUAAUAGAAUCAUCAAGGUCAUAGUGGCUCCUCAGAGUCUCUUCAAGGUGUCUUCGGUCAUUUCCUUGGCAGUCUCAGCCCAUUUGCAGAGUAACACUGGUGUUAGAGCAGUGGCGUUUAAUAAGGAACUUGAUCCUAUAUAGAAACUCAUCAUGGGCAAGUUUAGAGAAUACUAACUGAAACAGCAGGAGUCUGAGGAUCUGUUGAUAUUGGCCCAGAGUAUCAGCAAGAACUGUAAAGGGAGUUUUUUAGGCAUAAGCAAAGGUAUGGUAAGGGAGACAUGCCUACAUUUCUUAUCUUUGUAUUUGAAGAUUCUAAUACUGAGAUCAUGGAAAAACCUCAGUGUUGAAGAAAUAAUGUAGGCUAUCUGGUAAUUUGUCCAAGAUUGGUUGUAGAACUAAUCCUAAGUAUCAGCAUAAACAUCAUUUCACACCUCUCUAAUGUUCUUUUAAUUCUGAUUCCAAAUGAAUUACUGGUUGAUACUAGGUAUAACAAAAAAGGAAAGAAAAUAAAUGAUUUAUAGAGGAUUCUAAUGUAGCAUAACUCUGCUCCCUAAAUGUCCUCUUCUGCUUUCAUUUUCUCUUCAAACAAACAAACAAUUUGGACAGGGUUUAAAAAGGUAAGAGAGACAGAAAAACAAUCCAGAUAAUUUUUGAGCAGUUUCAAAAGGUUAACAGUAUUUUCUCAUUGAUAGGUUGGCAUUUUGCAGAUAUUUAAUUAUCAUUAACACUAGUCCAUAAACAAUGUAGCUCUGACCCCCAAGGCUUUACCCAUACCCAUUUUGUCUAAAUGCCAACAAACUAAAUAUGUUUUUGACCUCAAUAUUUUCAGUUAUCCUAAACUGAAUAAUUUUGUGGAGAAGUUAAGAACUUUAACCAUUUUAUUUGGCACUUGCGCGCGCGCGCGUGUGUGUGUGUGUGUGUGUGUGUGUGUGCAUGCAUGUAUCUAUCUAUCUGUCUGUCUGUCUAUCUAUCAUUGUUAAAUUGUAGCAAAUAAAUUAACUUUGUAACCUGAACUGUAUUUUGACAAAGACAAUCAGUUGAUACUAAAACCAUUGAGUAAAUGAUGUUAGGAUACUUCAUAUUCACUGAGUUUAAAAAUAUCACUCACAAAUUAUUUAUUAUAAAUUGAGUAGAUAUCUUUACAAUGGACAGACCUUGUAGAGCCACCUUAACCAACUGAUUAAAUUUAUCUUCUCCAAUAGGAAAUAAAACUUAAGCCAUUUGAUGUGAGGCAAUAAAAUACAAAAAAAAAAAAUACACAACAUCUCCUAUGUGGUGUUUUUG
rnacentral:lncRNA from 1 species